GAUGAACGCUGGCGGCGUGCCUAAUACAUGCAAGUCGAGCGAACAGACGAGGAGCUUGCUCCUCUGACGUUAGCGGCGGACGGGUGAGUAACACGUGGAUAACCUACCUAUAAGACUGGGAUAACUUCGGGAAACCGGAGCUAAUACCGGAUAAUAUAUUGAACCGCAUGGUUCAAUAGUGAAAGACGGUUUUGCUGUCACUUAUAGAUGGAUCCGCGCCGCAUUAGCUAGUUGGUAAGGUAACGGUUUACCAAGGCAACGAUGCGUAGCCGACCUGAGAGGGGGAUCGGCCACACUGGAACUGAGACACGGUCCAGACUCCUACGGGAGGCAGCAGUAGGGAAUCUUCCGCAAUGGGCGAAAGCCUGACGGAGCAACGCCGCGUGAGUGAUGAAGGUCUUCGGAUCGUAAAACUCUGUUAUUAGGGAAGAACAAAUGUGGAAGUAACUAUGCACGUCUUGACGGUACCUAAUCAGAAAGCCACGGCUAACUACGUG
rnacentral:rRNA from 1 species